rnacentral:rRNA from 1 species
CACCUACGGGAGGCAGCAGUGGGGAAUUUUGGACAAUGGGGGCAACCCUGAUCCAGCCAUGCCGCGUGAGUGAAGAAGGCCUUCGGGUUGUAAAGCUCUUUCGGCCGGGAAGAAAUCGUGCGGGCUAAUACCCUGUAUGGAUGACGGUACCGGAAGAAGAAGCACCGGCUAACUACGUGCCAGCAGCCGCGGUAAUACGUAGGGUGCGAGCGUUAAUCGGAAUUACUGGGCGUAAAGCGUGCGCAGGCGGUUUCGUAAGACAGAUGUGAAAUCCCCGGGCUUAACCUGGGAACUGCGUUUGUGACUGCGAGACUUGAGUGCGGCAGAGGGGGGUGGAAUUCCACGUGUAGCAGUGAAAUGCGUAGAGAUGUGGAGGAACACCGAUGGCGAAGGCAGCCCCCUGGGUCGACACUGACGCUCAUGCACGAAAGCGUGGGGAGCAAACAGGAUUAGAUACCCUGGUAGUCCACGCCCUAAACGAUGCGAACUAGGUGUUGGGGAAGGAGACUUCUUUAGUACCGUAGCUAACGCGUGAA